AUUGAACGCUGGCGGCAUGCCUUACACAUGCAAGUCGAACGGCAGCACGGGAGCAAUCCUGGUGGCGAGUGGCGAACGGGUGAGUAAUAUAUCGGAACGUGCCCAGUAGUGGGGGAUAGCCCGGCGAAAGCCGGAUUAAUACCGCAUACGACCUGUGGGUGAAAGCGGGGGAUCGCAAGACCUCGCGCUAUUGGAGCGGCCGAUAUCAGAUUAGCUAGUUGGUGGGGUAAAGGCCCACCAAGGCGACGAUCUGUAGCUGGUCUGAGAGGACGACCAGCCACACUGGAACUGAGAGACGGACCAGACUCCUACGGGAGGCAGCAGUGGGGAAUAUUGGACAAUGGGGGGCAACCCUGAUCCAGCGAUGCCGCGUGUGUGAAGAAGGCCUGAGGGUUGUAAAGCACUUUAGUUGGGGUAGGAAGAAUCCAGAGAUGAAUAAGCUAUGGAAAUGAGUUACCCAAAGAAUAAGCACCGGCUAACUACGUGCCAGCAGCCGCGGUAA
rnacentral:rRNA from 1 species